UACGUUCCCGGGCCUCGUACACACCGCCCGUCACACCAUGGGAGCGGGUUUUACCAGAAGUAGCUAGGCUAACCGCAAGGGGGCCGGUUACCACGGUAGGAUUCGUGACUGGGGUG
rnacentral:rRNA from 1 species